rnacentral:lncRNA from 1 species
GAGGAAUACAGCGAAAUUCUUAUGACCAAGCUGUUUUGUCAAUAACGUCAUCGUCUUUCUCUCCUCUAUUGACGCUGCCCAUCCUCUUAGACCAGCAAUAGUCCAUUUCUUCUCUACAGCUCGACAGCCAGUUUUCAGACUUUAUAAUCCAAGUAUUUCCGCUGCUUCCUGCCCCUGACCGCUAUGCACAAAACUUUUUGCAAUAGACUGUACAUGGGGUUUGUAUUGUAUUAUACAAAAUUUUCAAUGAGUCCUAUUAAAUAUUCAAUGAUUAUGCCAGACUUAGGUAUAAGAGUGUUAUGUUAUUGCUAUAUUUCAGACUUGCAUAAAUGGCUGCCUAUAUGCAAGACCAUUUGUUUAGGCCUUAUAGAUGAGGCUUAUAUACAUGACUUAGGUUAUUAUGCUUAGGCUUAUGUUAGCCAAUGGGGACCUGACGUUAGAGGAUCAUAGGUGAGCCAAGGCUAUUGUUAGGUUAUAGAACCUUAGGUUAGCUAAUAUUAGGUUACGAGUCUAAAAUUAAGUUCUUAUAGAAGUUUAGGUUAGGUUACUAUAUUAAAGACUAACUCUAAGUUUGGGUGCUGUUUAUAGAAAAGGUAUGAGGCAUUUGCUUAUGUUAUACAAAUCACCUAACACAAUUUGCUUGCUACUUAAAACUUAGGCUUCAUACAUCACUAAUUGCAUGCUGCUUGGGGCUUAGCCUUUAUAGAUUACCAAUUGCUUGCUGACGUUAGGUUAGGAUCUUAGGUUAUAAGAUGUUAGGCUUAGGUUAUGUAAUGUUAGGUUAGCCAAUGAUAGGUUAUAGGAUUAUGUUUAGCACCGAGUUAACC